GACGUCGAUAUUUGACGUCAUAAACACCAUCAAGUUUGGUGUUUUUGACGUCGAUAUUCGACGUCAUAAACACCAUCAAGUUUGGUGUUGAUGACGUCGAUAUUCGACGUC
rnacentral:miRNA from 1 species